rnacentral:lncRNA from 1 species
AAAACCCUUUCUCGAUUUUACGAAUUUCCCAAUUUAACGAAAUAAUUCGAGCGUGGUCAUCACUUCGUUAAAUCGAGUUUCAACUGUAUUUGAAUAAAUAA